rnacentral:rRNA from 1 species
UACGGAGGGUGCUAGCGUUGUUCGGAAUCACUGGGAGUAAAGCGCGUGUAGGCGGCCCACUAAGUCUGAUGUGAAAGCCCGGGGCUCACCCCCGGAAGUGCAUUGGAAACUGGUGGACUCGAGUCCCGGAGAGGAGGGUGGAAUUCCUGGUGUAGCGGUGAAAUGCGUAGAUAUCAGGAGGAACACCGGUGGCGAAGGCGGCCCUCUGGACGGUGACUGACGCUGAGACGCGAAAGCGUGGGGAGCAAACAGG